rnacentral:rRNA from 1 species
CACGUAGGGCGCAAGCGUUGUCCGGAAUUAUUGGGCGUAAAGAGCUCGUAGGCGGUUUGUUACGUCUGCUGUGAAAACCCGGGGCUUAACCCUGGGCUUGCAGUGGAUACGGGCAGACUAGAGGCAGGUAGGGGAGAAUGGAAUUCCCGGUGUAGCGGUGAAAUGCGCAGAUAUCGGGAGGAACACCGGUGGCGAAGGCGGGUUCUCUGGGCCUGACCUGACGCUGAGGAGCGAAAGCGUGGGGAGCGAACAGG